GAUGAAGAACGCAGCGAAAUGCGAUACGUAAUGUGAAUUGCAGAAUUCAGUGAAUCAUCGAAUCUUUGAACGCAUAUUGCGCUCUCUGGUAUUCCGGAGAGCAUGCUUGUUUGAGUAUCAGUAAACACCUCAACUUCCAUAUCUUUUUUGAAAUGGGAGUUGGACUUGAGUGAUCCCAACGCUUUUCCUCACCGAAAAGUGGCGGGUUACUUGAAAUGCAGGUGCAGCUGGACUUUUCUCUGAGCUAUAAGCAUAUCUAUUUAGUCUGCCUAAAAAACAGAUUAUUACCUUUGCUGCAGCUAACAAAAAGGAGAUUAGUUCUUGUGCUGACUGAUGCAGGAUUCACAAAGACAGCUUCGGCCGACUUUGUAAACUCGAUCUCAAAUCAAGUAAGACUACCCGCUGAACUUAAGCAUAUCAAUAAGCGGAGGA
rnacentral:misc_RNA from 1 species